AGUAACUAUAAUACACAAUGGCAUAAGAGCUGUAAGAUGAAUGAAAAAUAUAUUAUAGGCUCACAGCGUGGUGAACAAUAAGUUUGGGGAAGUGAGUCCAUGUUUUAACUGGGCCUUAAAGGACAAGAGAGAUUUGUCUUUUUUUACUUCUGUUUUCUGUUGGGGCGGGGUGGUGGAGUUGCAAGGGCGCACAAAAGUCUGCAGUCCAAGGAGAGAUGUGAGAACUACCUCAGCCAAGUUGGAAAGGACUUCUCACAAGUUGCAGGUCCUUCUAGUUGUGGGAUGUGGGACACCGCCUCAACGUGGCCUGACGAGUGGUGCCAUGUCCACACCCAGGAUCCCAACCCUGGGCCGCCGCAGCGGAGGGCGCGAACUUAACCACUCGGCCACGGAGCCGGCCCCACGGGGCACUGUGGGGGCCUGGAAUUGGCCACCCCAACAUAUGUCUCUUUGGCAUGAUUAUUUGGCGCUGGUUACUUUGCAGACAGGAAAGCAACUGAAAAGUAGAAUUUACUUACCC
rnacentral:lncRNA from 1 species